UAAUCUCACUACGAUCGACUUUUUGUCUUUCCGUAUGUGGACUUGGAUGCUGCCGUGAUAUUCACGACUCGUCUGAAAUGCCUGAGUGUACCCCGCUUUGCGGCGUAUUCGGUGUGAUACAUCUUCACCGGAGUUGAUCCUUUUGGGUCGCGUCUGUAAUAGUGUGGCUCUAUGCUUCGAACCGUCUCCGAGAGACAACCUCUGACA
rnacentral:misc_RNA from 1 species